UUCUCCGCCGGUCGAGGACAACCGACCCCUCGCGUCCAGAGGCUAAACGACGUCCCGGUGUUACCUCCCUGGAGGCACACGUUAAAGAUCGUUCCGCAUUGUGAGUCUUGACACCAGCUGUACAAUUUUUUACAACCGGUGGCGUUGGAUCCCUUGGCACGUCAUUCGAUGAAGACCGUUGCAAAUUGCGAUAAAGUGAUGUGAUGCGCAAGUCCACCACUUAUACGUGAAUCAUCGAGUUGUUGAACGCACUGCACCGCGCCCUAACCCGGCUGCGGUAUGCCCCUUUGAGCGUCAUUGUUACCCUUCGGGAGUCUUUCCUUGGGAAGACCCGAGUUCGGAGUCCUCGGUCCUCGGAUCCGUGUUCUCUCAGAUCCAUCGCGCCGAUCGUCCGGUAGGUCCUCUAAUGCCUGAGCGUGGAGAGCCUCUGGAGUUUUGAGCGGCGUUUGACUGCGUGGCGAGCGCUGGUCACCAAGUCCGCACGGCCUAGCCGUCGGUGCUACAACUCAUGACCUCAUCGGGGUAGGACAACCCGCUAGACUUAAGCAUAUUAAUCAGCGGAGGAAAAGAAACUAACCAGGAUCCCCUCAGUAACUGCGAGUGAAGUGGGGUCAGC
rnacentral:rRNA from 1 species